AGGAAAAAAUAAAAUUAUCAUCUUCAGUUU
rnacentral:misc_RNA from 6 species